rnacentral:rRNA from 1 species
AACGGCCGUACCAUGCUGAAUAUACCGGUUCUCGUUAGAUCACCGAAGUUAAGCAUUAUUGGGCGCGGUCAGUACUUGGGUGGGUGACCACCUGGGAACACCGUGUGCCGUU